CAAGCUGCCGCCGGCCCCGUCCUUCAGCAGCGGGUCGGUCCCGUCCAGGUUGAAGGCGGCGCCCGCCAGGAGCUGGAGGCCGAGGCCGCAGAGCCAGGCGCCCGGCGCCCCCCGCAUGCUGCCGGCCCCGGGACAGGAUUCAAGGACCCGGGGCUUGGAGAACAAUCCCGACCGUCAGCGGCACCCGUUGGGAUCAACGCCUGCGUUUCUGCCCAGUGGAGCGGGACGAAAAACACCCAAUAUUGACCAGCAAAUGGCCGCUUCACAGAUCACCUGUCUGCCCCCCAUGUCAUAGGCCAGAGACUGUCCCCCAUCCCUCCUGCACUGCACCCAGCGUGUCUGGUUAAACCAUCUUCCAAAAAGCCCUCCAGCCUGGCUGCGAAGACCCCACGGCCUGAAGGAUCUGCCCUGGCCCGUAGGGUGGAAGGGCCAGCCUGCUGGGAGAACGCCAUUGGGGCUGCCGGCAUCGGUCAGCAUCUGAGAUUCUGCUUCACUUCCUGUCCUAAAACUGGAGCCUGGCCUCACUGUGCCCUGGGACAGAGCUGCCCCGUGCCGCCCGCCGGCUGGCUGCUCUCACCAAGGGCACGUUUGCCGGGGUCCCUUUGCAAUGGGAGGCGUCAUGGAAUUGGCAUUGGGCUGAUUCCCUCGCCCUGGAGACAGCUCCGGCAUGUGCGUGUCCCCUCUUGGAAUCACGCCGCUGUGUGCCCCCCCUCGGAGCGUUUCUGCUUCAAUACAAGUGCCGACUUCCACAGGCAGCGUCCCUGGGGUAGAAGAUUCGGUUGGCUUCGACCCCUCCGCUCCCCCUGGCUUCUGAGAGCCCCUUUCAGUGGCAGCCAAGCGACGUCAGGGGCUGGCAGCGGGGCUGGGCCGGCCCUGGCUCCCCGAGCCGGCUGGAUCCAAUUCAGGGGGAGCUGAGUCUCGUGAGUGCCUCAGGGGGCGGUGGGUGGGGCUGGCAAAAAGAACUAGGCCAGAGAAGGGAAAAACCUCUGUGGGUGUGGAAAUAGCUGGAGCCAAAGAGCAUCAGGGGCUGGGAGCGGAGCACUGAGAACAGAACUCUCUGAACCCUGUCCCAGGGCCGAGUCCUUCCGCCCCUCCCGGGAGCAUCCUUCCCCCAUGGAAGACAGAGGGGAAGAAGCUAGAGAGUAGAGGGAGGAGGGCGGAUGGCAACGUGAUGACAGGGCAUGGAAUCAGCUGGUCCGUGCCCAUAUACCCGCCUGGCACCUCUCUGCAGUGGCCGGCUCGGCCUCCGGAAUCUCAGCUUUCAUGCCUAGCCGUCAGAGGGGCGAAGGAAACCUCAGAAACGUGACCCACGAGUAACCCAGGCAGCUACGUCUGCCGGAGUCUGCACAGAGCCUGGGCCAAUAGCUCAGAGAAGUGUGAACCGUCCCCUUCAUCGCGGGGAGGGGUGGACUCAGAUUCCCAGUGCCGAGCAUGGCUAACGCCUCCAUCCCUCGUGUGGAGAGGGGGGCAGGGUCCCUUUGGGGGCCCCGGCAGGGGGCGGUUGGGAGGUGCCGCUGCUCAUUUGCCCCCCCCCCCACCGCAGAAGGGCCCCGCAGAGCUUAGCGAGUCCACGAUGAACCGCGGCCCAGCCCCACUGGAUGUCAGGAGGUCGGCGCUCAACACCCCCCCUUAUUUCCCAGUCUGACCCCACUGAGUGGCUACAGUGCAGGGCUCCGGGGCUCCGUUCCCAGCACUGCCACCGGCUGGGGGCAACUCCCAACCCUCAGAACCGGGCACUGAUGUGGGGGACCCCAACUUGAGCCACCUCAGGCCUGGUUCUCAGAAGAUGCCGAGCGCCCGCAGCACGUCCGGCCCGGCUGGGCUCUCUGCCUCCGACACAGGGAACAAUUCGAUCCCCACACGCCCCCC